rnacentral:lncRNA from 1 species
GGCUGGGGGACGAACAGCAGUUUAUUCCUCUGACACUGUUCGACCAUCACAAAGGAAGGAAGCAAGGCUUUUAUACAUGUAGGAAAGCAGCUUAGUUAUUCUGGCUAUUGUUUUUCUGAUUUUAACCUCUGGAGUUAGCCAGUGACUUUAAGUGACUCAUAAAAGCUACAGGUGAACUUACAAGUCCCCUGUUUCCGUUCACCAGUCCCAUACAUCUAAGAGCACACGGCAGCCCUCUUCUUAUCAGAUGGUACCAAGACAGCAGGACGACUUCAGCCAAAAUCAAGCCCACCGGCCCACCGCAAACUUCACGGAUGUUUUUAGUGAGUCGUGUCUCUCACCACCCAUAGCCUCAUUGGGUUGCAGUCCUCUGAUCCUGGGCAAUGAAAACUAUUUAAAUCUGGCCAGCACCGCCCCCAUUGCCUGGACUGCCACAUGGAGGCCAACACCACCCCCACCACCCGAGAGCAUGCUGCACAGGCUUCAAGGUAUUUGAAUCCACACUGCAGAGGCAUCAGGGAGGCCAUAAAGGCCAUAGGUAUGACCACCAGAAGAGAGAGGAGAAGUGAACAACAGAGAGAGGGGCUCUCUGAGGCUCCUCAAUGAAAAUUAAAGCCCACUGGAAAAGUGAAGAAAAUCUCUGUAAUAAAGGCACACUGGACCAUCGUGAUUGGUAAGUUGGUGGGAUCAGCACCUCUCAUAGGAACUUGGACUUGCUUUGGAGGAAGGGCAGGUGGA